rnacentral:rRNA from 1 species
AGAGUUUGAUCCUGGCUCAGAACGAACGCUGGCGGCAGGCCUAACACAUGCAAGUCGAGCGCUCUCUUCGGAGGGAGCGGCGGACGGGUGAGUAACGCGUGGGAACGUGCCCUUCUCUAUGGAAUAGCCACUGGAAACGGUGAGUAAUACCAUAUACGCCCUUCGGGGGAAAGAUUUAUCGGAGAAGGAUCGGCCCGCGUUAGAUUAGGUAGUUGGUGGGGUAAUGGCCUACCAAGCCUACGAUCUAUAGCUGGUUUUAGAGGAUGAUCAGCCACACUGGGACUGAGACACGGCCCAGACUCCUACGGGAGGCAGCAGUGGGGAAUCUUAGACAAUGGGCGCAAGCCUGAUCUAGCCAUGCCGCGUGAGUGAUGAAGGCCUUAGGGUCGUAAAGCUCUUUCGCCAGAGAUGAUAAUGACAGUAUCUGGUAAAGAAACCCCGGCUAACUCCGUGCCAGCAGCCGCGGUAAUACGGAGGGGGUUAGCGUUGUUCGGAAUUACUGGGCGUAAAGCGCACGUAGGCGGAUUAGAAAGUUAGGGGUGAAAUCCCGGGGCUCAACCUUGGAACUGCCUCUAAAACUCCUAGUCUAGAGUUCGAGAGAGGUGAGUGGAAUUCCAAGUGUAGAGGUGAAACUCGUAGAUAUUUGGAGGAACACCAGUGGCGAAGGCGGCUCACUGGCUCGAUACUGACGCUGAGGUGCGAAAGUGUGGGGAGCAAACAGGAUUAGAUACCCUGGUAGUCCACACCGUAAACGAUGAAUGCCAGUCGUCGGGUAGUAUACUGCUCGGUGACACACCUAACGGAUUAAGCAUUCCGCCUGGGGAGUACGGUCGCAAGAUUAAAACUCAAAGGAAUUGACGG